AUUGAACGCUGGCGGCAGGCCUAACACAUGCAAGUCGAGCGGAGGAAGGGAGCUUGCUCCUGGAUUCAGCGGCGGACGGGUGAGUAAUGCCUAGGAAUCUGCCUGGUAGUGGGGGAUAACGUCCGGAAACGGGCGCUACUACCGCAUACGUCCUGAGGGAGAAAGUGGGGGAUCUUCGGUCCUCACGCUAUCAGAUGAGUCGAUGUGGGUUUAGCUAGUUGGUGGGGUAAAGGCGUACCAAGGCGACUAUCCGUAAUUGGUCUGGGGGGUUGAUCAGUCACACUGGAACAGAGACACGGUCCAGACUCCGACGGGAGGCAGCAGUGGGGAAUAUUGGACAAGGGGGGGGAGCCUUAUCCAGCCAUGCCGCGUGUGUUAAGAAGGCCUUCGGAUUUGAAAGCACUUUAAGUUGGGAGGAAGGGCAGUAAGUUAAUGUCGUGCUGUUUUGACGUUACCAUCAGAAUAAGCACCGGCUAACUUCGUG
rnacentral:rRNA from 1 species